GAUGAGGCAGUGGCCGCAGGGGUCCGCGCGCAGGACGUACGCCUGCCCCAGGGACGGGGGACAGGACCAAUGUAAGCGGGGCUGUCCCACUUCCUGGAGGAGGUGACCCUGCUUCUCACUCAGGGGCUGACAGCUGAGAGGUGGGAGAGGCAUGGGCGUCCCUUCCACUGCAGGCCCCACCCGGGACUCCAGGACACAGAGGGACCGAGGGAGCCGCAGGGCGGGCACUGGCUGCCCCUUACAGAGAGACGCAGGCUUCCGACUCUGUGCUCAGGGACGGAGCAGCUGGCUUAGAAAGCCUGUGACCCACUGGUGCCACACAACAGUCGGUGGCUCUCACCCAGGUGCACUUGGCGGUGAGGCAGCUGCGUCCGCAGACUUCGCCCAGACCUGGCCCCGGAGGCCGAGGCCGCCUCCCCCGGCCCCCGCGACCCUCCCACAGCUGCCUCUUCCUGCUCUGGGACUUGCUGCCCUUUAUUUGCGCCUUCCCUUGCCGAGCUUCCCUCCCCGGCCAGACUGAGGGCUCCCUGUGGCCUCCAUCCCAGGGCAGCGCCCAGGAGCCACCCAACAAUACACAGGUGGGGACAAGAGUGCGAGUGUCCUGGCAUGGAAGAGCACCACAGCCGGUGCUGACGACGUCCCGUUAGGUGGGACCUGAUUCUACCGCUGGGGUGAAGCAGGCCUGCUCGAUGGCUUCAGUGAGCACCAAACCCAGGUCAGAGCCAUGGACGGCGGGGCCGGAACCUCGUUCCCCAACUGGGCUGGGUCCCCAGGACUCCUGACGGCUGCAGGGAAGGGGCGAGGCUGAUGAGAGGGACAGGCCCCUAGUCUCAUGGAGACUCACCAAAUCUGUGUUUCCCCUCGACAGCUCCUGAGCAUCUGGAGAGACAGACAGAAAGAGAAACGUGAGUGCUGGGGCCCCAGGGAAAGGCCAAGGGACCACGUGGGGAGAGCUCCCACAAAACAGAGCGAGCCGGGACUCGGGACCCCAAGCUCUGCUGGUGAUGGGAUCAAGUGGCACAGCCACCGUGGAGAACUGAGUGGAAGUUUCUAACAAAGUCGAACACACACAGACCCUGGGCCUCUGGCCACAUCUCCAAGAGGCCUCCUCAUAAAGCCCCCGAGCGACGCUACCAACCCAACAACAGGCUGACGGACACACAAACUGACAAGCAGCCACACAGCCCACCACAGAACGGGCUACCACACACGCGGUGCCACAGGAGGCCUUAAAACAGGCUCUGCGUCAGAAUGCCAAUUAGCCCAAUUUAACUGGAGUGACCCCUGAGCCUUUUAGUCGCAAGAACAGAAACCCGGCACGCUGCCUGAUAUGGCCACCAACAGCUCUCCCAGCUCCCUGCUGCAGGAGGCCCUGGCCGGGACAAGCAGCCACACACGAGCCAUCACAUUUUUUUUUUAAUAUUUAUUUUUUAGUUGUAGUUGGACAUAAUACUUUUAUUUCACUUAUUUAUUUUUAUGUGGUGCUGAGGAUUGAACCCAGGGUCUCGUGCAUGCAAGGCAAGUACUCUACCGCUGAGCCACAACCCCAGCACCCGCCACCCGAGCCAUCACAUUUUAAAAGCUCAUUCCAUUCUGAAGCAAACGCAUUUCCCCCCAAUGUACACAGACAAAGCCACGCGCUCUGGUGGCACACAAACAGAGACGAGAAAGAAGAUGAGCCAUUUGUUCUUUGAGGCAGUAGAUGGAGUGAGUGAGAUCUUGGAGCCAAGGUUCAAAUCCUAGCCCUGCCACUUAUCUGCUGCAUGACCCUGGGCAAGUUGCUCAGAGUCUCUGAGCCUCUGUUCCCCCAUCUGUAUCCCAGGAUGAGAGAAGCAGCUGCCAGCAUCAGGGUUGUGGUGAGUUCCCAGUUGAUGGGCACACCAGUCCUGCCAUAAUCGACAGCUCAGUAACACUGAGUGUGCCCAUUUUUGUUUUUAUUCACACUCCUGCUCCAGAGCAGCAGGGGUACUAACCAGCACCCUGACAUUUUGGGCUGGGUUACUCUAUUUUGGAUGGCUGUCCCAUGUGUCAUGGGAUAUACAGCCACAUCCCCAACCUGUACCCACCAGAUGCCAGCAGCACCCACUCACCUUCAGCUGUAAUGACCAGAUGUACCUCUAGGCACUGCCAAACAUCCCUGGGGAAGGGGACAAAAUAAAAAUUGCUCUUUGCUCAGACACACUGACCUUCCUAUAGCACCCUUCCCGGGCCGACUCAGCAAAGGCCCUGUGAAGUCCUGUGGUGGCCCUGCUGCCGUAGCCCAGAUGUUCCUACCCUCGACUGCAGAAUGAAAUCCACCUAAGGAAACCCUCUGGACAGUGCCCAUGACCUCACGCCCAGCACCUAAAAAGGACAACUCUGACCAGCACCAGAAGUCAGAGCCCAGUGCUGCACCGGAACCCUCAUGUGACCUGCUCUCAGAGACCCGCUUCUUCCCCUACAAACUGGAGAUGAUAACAGAGGGGCUUUCCCUGCCCGCCACUACAAACAUUUGUUUGUUUACUUCAUGAGGUUUUUUAGUGUUUUGGGGCUUUUGUUUUUUGGUAACUGGGGAUGGAAACCUAGUGUUCUACCACUGAGCUACAUCCCAGCCCUUUUUAUUUUAUCUUUUUUUUCAUUACAAUUCUUAUUACAUAUAUAGAGCACAAUUUUUCAUAUCUCUGUAUAUAACGUAUGUUCCUUUUUAUUCUAUCUUGAAACAGGAUCUCACUAAGUUGCCCAGACUGGCCUCCAACUUAUGAUCCUCCUGCCUCAGCCUCUGAGUUGUGGGAUUACAGUUUUCGGCGGACACAACAUCCUUGUUUGUACGUGGUGCUGAGGAUCGAACCCGGGCCACAUGCAUGCCAGGCGAGCGCGCUACCGCUUGAGCCACAUCCCCAGCCCCUGGUUUCCAUUUCUCUUGGGCAAUGUACCUUGUCAAGAUUGACUGUCUAGACAUUAGUAACCAUUCUCUAACAUGUACUGAACUAGGGUCAUUUUGACCCCCUUCCCUUCUGCUGGCUUGCUGCCAUGCCAACCUGGAAAGUCCUGUGGGAAAUACCAAUGUACCCGUUGCAUUGUCUCACUAACUGCCCAGCUCAGCUUCUGUACCUGCUUGCUUGCAGCUACGGCAACCCGGAUGUGGUUUUUGCCUUUAACUAUCCUAAAAUGCUUAGGCUCGGGACUGUUCCUUGCAGAGACACUUAUGGGUCUUGUGGGGGAGCAGUCACGGCCAGGCAGAUAAAUAAAGACUCUUCAAUUUGGACAAAA